ensembl:snoRNA
AUCCUUUUGUAGUUCUUAAGUGUGAUGACUGGGUGCUCACACACAAGAGGUGCCUCUCAAACCUUGUUAUGACAUCGGCAUAUGACCCAUCUGACA